AACGAACGCUGGCGGCAUGCCUAACACAUGCGAGUCGAACGAGACCUUCGGGUCUAGUGGCGCACGGGUGCGUAACGCGUGGGAACCUGCCCUUAGGUUCGGAAUAACUCCCCGAAAGGGGUGCUAAUACCGGAUAAUGUCUUCGGACCAAAGAUUUAUCGCCUUUGGAUGGGCCCGCGUUGGAUUAGCUAGUUGGUAGGGUAAAAGCCUACCAAGGCGACGAUCCAUAGCUGGUCUGAGAGGAUGAUCAGCCACACUGGGACUGAGACACGGCCCAGACUCCUACGGGAGGCAGCAGUGGGGAAUAUUGGACAAUGGGCGAAAGCCUGAUCCAGCAAUGCCGCGUGAGUGAUGAAGGCCUUAGGGUUGUAAAGCUCUUUUACCCGAGAUGAUAAUGACAGUACCGGGAGAAUAAGCUCCGGCUAACUCCGUG
rnacentral:rRNA from 1 species